UUUUUCUUGUAUACUUAGGAGACUCGAAUGUAUAUAUUUGGGUAUUGUUAGUGAAUAAGAUACGAAAGUAGAACCCAGAGAAACGGGAGGCGGUUCCGUUCUGAGUUCCGUUUUUUCGCAGAUCAGACAAGAACUCUGCAGAAUUCUUCGGUCUUCUUCUUCUUCUACAGAGGUUCCGUUCGGCUGAAACUGUUGAUCGCCUUCUAUUUUUGGACAUCCAACAGAGGCGGCGGCAACCAUCCCACCUACCCUCUGUUUUUACCUCUUCGAGAUUCCUGACUGCAAGCGCUGAACACCAUGUCAGUUUGAAGCAAGAAGAUAAGAAACGACACCCCUGUUCCGGCGAUCGAAUUCAGGGCAAAAUCUAACUGGAUCAAACCAGCGCUUGCUCAUCUUCCUUGUUGAGACGGCGGAUGCGAUCAAAGGUUCCAAAAUCGAGUGACAACGGCGACCUCCGAGUGGUAACCAUUGGCACGACGAUCGAACCCAACCCAGAAGAGCGGCGGUGAACGUCUUCCUGUUCCGGGUGGUAACCAUUGGCAUGGCCGUUCUCGUACUACCUCUCUCUGCUCAUCUACUUCCUAGCCCACAUACGACCGCCUCUUCCUCCCCUGCCUCUCUCUGCUCUCACAGAUUUGGCAGGCGGAAGAGGCUUCGAAGGGAACUUGACGAAGCCUGCUGCGCUUUCUGUUGAGGCUGCUUCUUCUCUGCCGGCGACGAAGCAGCAACCCUGGCGGCGAUGGGUUCGCCAUUGGCGGCAACAGGUUUGCUAUCGGCAGCAAUAGGAUUGCUAUAGGCGACAACAAAAUUCUCUAGCAACGAUCGUUCAGCGGCGGCACUUCGGACCAGUGAUCAGCGGCGACUUCGAACUAGUGAUCAGCGGCGACUUUGGACCAGUGAUCAGCGGUGACAACGUUCUGCGUUGUGGUUUUCAGUCUGACGUGUUUUCGGACCAGCGGCGGCACUUCGGUGAUCAUCGUCUCCUUCGGAGAACAGCGGCAACACUUCUCUGGUUGGAGUCGUAAGCUCUGGUUUUACAAUACGGCCCGCCGGGAACUGAAAAGACAAGCCUGUUCGCUGCCAUUGCGAAUUUCCUCAUCUAUGACCUCAAAUUAACGGCUGUGUCGAGUAAUUCACAGCUGAGGAAGCUCCGGAUCUCGACUUCCAACAAAUCGGUGAUCGUCGUGGAAGACGUCGAUUGUUCGCUUGAUCUUUGAGAUCGAAAGAAGAAGGAAAGAUUAGAGAUAGAGGAGUCACAACGGCAGAGGAAGUAAUAGCUUCGGAGCACUGUUAGUCUAUCUGGGGUUCUGAAUUUCGUCGAUGGGCUCUGGUCGUCUUGACAGGUCCUGUCUUUGCUAAGCUCGUCUUGCAUCUUCCUCCACCCACGGUCUUUUUUGGUUGAUGGGUGAAGCAGUGACAACGAGAGUUCGUUGAAGAGAAGAGAAGAGAACGGUUUCAUGACUCCGCUAAUAAGCAGAACGCAAAGGCAAGAAGAGAGGCGAUGAGAAGACGGGAGGCCAUUCGUAUAGAAGAAUAGAGGAGGAAAUUCUUCUCCUUCUGUAGAAGUUCCGUUUGGCCGAGACUGUUGAUCGGACAACCGUCCUAACAAGGGCUCAAGUCUCCGGCGAGUCAACAUUCUGCGGUAGCGGAGAUCGACUCUUUGUCAUUUGUGGCGAUUCUGCCACCGGUUGUGGGUUUUCAAACACAGUAGUUGGUAUGGCUGAAAACAAAGAAAAAGAACAGGGUGAACAGAAACAAGGAGUAGGGGUAGGAGGAAAAGGUCGUGGUGGCCAAGUCAAGGCCUAUACAGCCAAAGCCUUUGCGCAAGGCAAUGCGUCUCAAGGAGAAUCAAUUGAUGCAGCCAAGACUGGGUUAAAUGGACUGAGUAGUGAGCAGUGGAACAUGUUACUCAAACUUUUGAACACACAGAAAAAGGGGAAUCAACGACUAAGUGGACCGCACUACGAGAAUGCUGAUUGGAGCGGGUGAGCAGCGAGAGGGACUCUAUUAUUUUCGGAGCAUUGCAUCAACAAGAGCAAUGAAGACUAUAGAAAGCAGGACAAAUGGCGAUAUUUGGCAUCAAAGGUUAGGGCAUCCUUCUUAUAGAAUUGUUAAGUUGCUGCCUUUUAUUAGUACUAAGAAUAGUAAUGAUGACAGUAUUAAGGGUUGUGAUGCAUGCUUUCGAGCUAAACAAUGUCGAGAAGAGUUUGUUUCUAGUAUAAUAAAGCAUCUGACAUUUUUGAGUUAA